rnacentral:tRNA from 7 species
GACCCGUUAGCUCAGUUGGCAGAGCACCUGCCUUUUAAGCAGGGUGUCCGGGGUUCGAAUCCCCGACGGGUCACCA